rnacentral:rRNA from 4 species
GGGUUGUGAGGUUAAGCGACUAAGCGUACACGGUGGAUGCCCUGGCAGUCAGAGGCGAUGAAGGGCGUGCUAAUCUGCGAUAAGCGCCGGUAAGGUGAUAUGAACCGUUAUAACCGGCGAUUUCCGAAUGGGGAAACCCAGUGUGAUUCGUCACACUAUCAUUAACUGAAUCCAUAGGUUAAUGAGGCGAACCGGGGGAACUGAAACAUCUAAGUACCCCGAGGAAAAGAAAUCAACCGAGAUUCCCCCAGUAGCGGCGAGCGAACGGGGAGGAGCCCAGAGCCUGAAUCAGCAUGUGUGUUAGUGGAAGCGUCUGGAAAGGCGCGCGAUACAGGGUGACAGCCCCGUACACAAAAGCGCAUGUGCUGUGAGCUCGAUGAGUAGGGCGGGACACGUGGUAUCCUGUCUGAAUAUGGGGGGACCAUCCUCCAAGGCUAAAUACUCCUGACUGACCGAUAGUGAACCAGUACCGUGAGGGAAAGGCGAAAAGAACCCCGGCGAGGGGAGUGAAAAAGAACCUGAAACCGUGUACGUACAAGCAGUGGGAGC